rnacentral:rRNA from 1 species
AUUGAACGCUGGCGGCAUGCUUUACACAUGCAAGUCGAACGGCAGCGGGGAGGAGCUUGCUUCUCUGCCGGCGAGUGGCGAACGGGUGAGUAAUACAUCGGAACGUGUCGAGAAGAGGGGGAUAACCACCCGAAAGGGUGGCUAAUACCGCAUAAAUUCUGAGGAAGAAAGCUGGGGACCUGGGAAUAGGCCUAGCGCUUUUUGAGCGGCCGAUGUCGGAUUAGCUAGUUGGUGAGGUAAAGGCUCACCAAGGCGAAGAUCUGUAGCGGGUCUGAGAGGAUGAUCCGCCACACUGGGACUGAGACACGGCCCAGACUCCUACGGGAGGCAGCAGUGGGGAAUUUUGGACAAUGGGGGCAACCCUGAUCCAGCCAUGCCGCGUGUAUGAAGAAGGCCUUAGGGUUGUAAAGUACUUUUGUUAGGGAAGAAAAGUCAGCUGUGAAUAAUGGCUGAUACUGACGGUACCUAAAGAAUAAGCACCGGCUAACUACGUA